CCCACAAAAAAAUUAAAACGUGGCAUUAAUUGACUAUAUAUAUGUGCCUUAUGAACAAUUCCUCGGUAGAUAUGACUGUGUGAACUUUCAAUUUGAGAGAUGUGUGUAUUGUAGAAGGAGAAUAAUAAUCAAAGCUUUCUGAGACGUGCAAAUGGAGUGAUUGAUUGGUAUCGCAACACAUAAAGUGUAACAUUUAACCUGGAAGUGGAAUGUGCACGUUUGAAUACAAGUUAUACCAUCGGGAACUUUAGCUUCUUUGGAUUGAGCUAGAUAGAAGACAUGGAUAUGUAUGAUGACAACAUAAAAUGAUAAUAAUUGUUUGCUAUGUAGAGGGGUAGCAAUUCUAUGUAUGAGGUGGAUAUAUAGUGUCAACUUUUAUGAUGUAGGAACUCUCUUGAUUUGUAGAAAAAAAUCUUCUCAAUCUCUCUUAUAUAGUCUGGUAAUUGUUUACUAUAUGUAGAGGGGAAACAAUUGUAUCUGUGUUUUGUAUGAUGUGAGCUUUUAUGUUGUAACUCUUUUGGUUUGUA